GGGAGUUGGAGACGUCGCGGUGGUGGAGGCGGGCGCAAGCGCAGGGAGCGAGGUGCCUGCAACCUCAGGAGAGAAGUGUGUUUUGAAGCAGUGUCAGGAUGUGGAUCUCUCCUUCCUACAGCAGCCCGCAGGAUCUGAUCUCUUUCGGGGUACAAAGAAGGGAACGCUGUUUCUCACUUCAUACCGGGUGAUCUUCGUGACUUCACACUCAGUCGACGACCCCAUGUUUUCUUUCAUGAUGCCAUUUGAUCUGAUGAGUAACUGCACCAUUGAACAACCCGUCUUUGCCCCCAACUACAUUAAAGGAACCGUUCAGGCAGCUCCAGAUGGUGGCUGGGAAGGACAGGCUGUUUUUAAAUUAUCCUUCAGAAAAGGAGGUGCCAUUGAAUUUGCCCAGCUAAUGAUGAAAGCUGCCUCUGCUGCUGCCAGAGGAAUUCCACUCGGAAGUGUGAAUUACUGGUACGGCACUUCGGGACUGUUUGUAAUCACUACACCCGGGGGCACAACGUGCACCCAGCGCACACCUUGUCCAGUUGUGGUCUAUGGACCCCUACCAGUAGGAUAUGGAGGCCAACCAGCAGAAUAUAGAGCCCCACCUCCAGGAUACAGAGCCCCACCUCCAGGAUACAGAGCCCCACCUCCAGGAUACGGAGCCCCACCUCCAGGAUACGGAGCCCCACCUGAAAGACUCGAAGCCCCACCAGCAGGAUAUGGAGUCCCAUCUGCGGGAUAUGAAGCCCCACCUGCAAGAUAUGACGCCCUGCCUCCAGGAUACGGAGCCCCACCUGAAAGACUCGAAGCCCCACCAGCAGGAUAUGGAGUCCCAUCUGCGGGAUAUGAAGCCCCACCUGCAAGAUAUGAUGCCCCGCCUCCAGGAUAUGGAGCCUCACCUGAAAGAUAUGGAGCCCCCUCUGCAGGAUAUGGACACACAACAGCUGAAAAUGAAGCCCCACCUCUAGCAUAUGAAGCCCCAUCUGCUGGAAAUAGAGCUGCCUCUCACAAAUCUGUGGCAGCCCAGCCGGAGGCUUCUCUUCCCUCUACCUCAUCUUCUCAGGCGCAUUUACCACCUUCUAAGAAGUAAACCUAGAAGAUUCACCAAGCAAAGGGUACCCUAAAACUGAAGUCACGAUAAGGAGGAGGACUCAGGUGCAGGCAGGAGGAGGCGUUUCCUGGGCAUGGAGUGACCUGACGCUCCCCACACAUCUGUGAGGUCCUGAGCCUCAAAACACAGAUGCAUGUGAGAAGACUGCUGUCCCCAAGGAAGGAAAAUGCCUGACAGAUGCGAGCCAACCAGAGCAAGAGAGAGAUCCGAACCAGCACAUAAACAGCUUGGGGAUGAAGACCGAUUUCUGGGUUCUCAUUAGGAAACAGGCCUGGGCCUGUGUCUCAAGGAGAAGAGAGAAGUCCUUGCAACCCAAGAGGCUAGGGUUACCCUGGUUUUACACCCUCGAUUAAAGCCUGCUUGCUGUUUGUUGCGUA